GGGGUUGUGGCUCAGCAGUAGAGUGCUCACCUAGCUCGUGCGAGGCCCUCGGUUCAAUCCCCAGCACCCCA
rnacentral:tRNA from 1 species